rnacentral:rRNA from 1 species
CCUACGGGAGGCAGCAGUGAGGAAUAUUGGUCAAUGGACGAGAGUCUGAACCAGCCAAGUAGCGUGAAGGAUGACUGCCCUAUGGGUUGUAAACUUCUUUUAUAUGGGAAUAAAACGUUCCACGUGUGGGAUUUUGUAUGUACCAUAUGAAUAAGGAUCGGCUAACUCCGUGCCAGCAGCCGCGGUAAUACGGAGAAUCCGAGCGUUAUCCGGAUUUAUUGGGUUUAAAGGGAGCGUAGGUGGAUUGUUAAGUCAGUUGUGAAAGUUUGCGGCUCAACCGUAAAAUUGCAGUUGAAACUGGCAGUCUUGAGUACAGUAGAGGUGGGCGGAAUUCGUGGUGUAGCGGUGAAAUGCUUAGAUAUCACGAAGAACUCCGAUUGCGAAGGCAGUUCACUGGACUGCAACUGACACUGAGGCUCGAAAGUGUGGGUAUCAAACAGGAUUAGAUAUCCUUGUAGUC